ensembl:snRNA U6 U6 spliceosomal RNA
GAGGCAUCACAUUUACUAAAACUGGAAUGAUACAGAAGAGCAUGGCCUCUGCACAAAGAUGACACACAAAUUCAUGAGGUGUUCCACAUUUUU